ensembl:rRNA 5S_rRNA 5S ribosomal RNA
GUCUAUGGCCAUACCACCCUGAAUGCACCCGAUCUCGGCUGAUCGCGGAAGCUAAGCAGUGUUGGGCCUGGUUAGUACUUGGAUGGGAGACCGUCUGGGAAUACCGGGUGCUUUAGGCC